UACGGAGGAUCCGAGCGUUAUCCGGAUUUAUUGGGUUUAAAGGGUGCGUAGGUGGCUUUUUAAGUCAGCGGUGAAAGUUUGUGGCUCAACCAUAAAAUUGCCGUUGAAACUGGGGGGCUUGAGUAUAUUUGAGGUAGGCGGAAUGCGUGGUGUAGCGGUGAAAUGCAUAGAUAUCACGCAGAACUCCAAUUGCGAAGGCAGCUUACUAAACUAUAACUGACACUGAAGCACGAAAGCGUGGGGAUCAAACAGG
rnacentral:rRNA from 2 species